rnacentral:sRNA from 1 species
UCCAUAUCACGGAUCUGUGCCCAGCGGUCCCUUGCUUCUACGGAAGUCCAAGGUCGAUUGCUGUGCAGCUCGAUAACUCCAUGGAGCCAUCAACUUGCUAUGGUGUCAAUCAUCCUAUCGACAGGUCCAAGAUCAACUGGUAUAGCUGCAUGGUUCGUUGUCGCAAGGCAACUCGAGCCAUGUGGUCGCCAGAGGCACUAUAUUCCGCCCCUCUUUUCCAAGACCGUCGGUCGGUGAGGUUGAGGAAAACCAUGGUUGCGGCCUACAUUC